AUGGAGGAUGCACCUCUGUACAAGCAGCGCCGCAGGUACACCAGGGAGCUCCACGACAUCGACCUCCAUGGCAACCACAAGCUCCACGUCAUUUGCACAAGCAAGGGUGAAGACGUGGACAAGAUGUUGUCCAUGCUCAGGAGGAAGCUAGGCGGAAUGCCCGUCAAACUAGUCGGUGUUGAUGUCGAGUACACGCACUACGUGAAGCCACAUCGAGCAAUAGUGCUCCAGCUAUGCGUAGAAAAAGAAUGCCUUGUCUACCACAUCUCUGCAGCUAAAGACAAGCCAAUGGAACUAGACAAAUUCCUCAUGAAUGGUGAGUACACCUUCGUCGGAUUCGCCAUUGAAGGAGAUAAAAGCAAGCUGAAGCUAUCUGGAUUGGGUAUCAACUCCGACAACUACAUUGAUAUUCAGGUGGAAUGGACAGACCCAUACAAUAAAAAGAAGUUUAACUCUUCGGCUGAUGUUGCCGGUAGGAUGAUAGACAUUCACUACCAUGACAUGAAGAAAAAAAUUAACCGCAAGGAGGACCAUACUCUGUGGGGAUUUUGCCUGCUGCCAGAAAAGCUUAUCAAGUAUGCAGCAAUAGAUGCGUUCGCAACAUAUGAGUCAUGGAGAGUCAUCUAUGAUGUCAUAAUGGGACUGGACAGGGCAAAAAGAGACAAAGAAGCAAAGAAGAAGAAGAAAAAGGUUGUAAUCCAAUACAACAACUAG
rnacentral:rRNA from 1 species